CAAAAAGAAGAAAGAAAUAUUUGAUAAGUCACAAGCGAUGUAUUUUAUAAUAAUAAUAAUAAUAAUAAUAAUAAUAAUAAUAAUAAUAUAUAUAUAUACGUAUAUAUAUAUAAAUAGAAGAAACCCAGCGAUACUCGAUUUUGAAUUUAACUCCUCGUACAAUAAGAGUUUAAAUUAGAUACAAUCCGUUUGAGAAUUAAUUGGAUUGUGAUUACUGUGAUUCUCUGGAAGAAAUUUGUAGGAUUGAACUUAAUUAAAAAGAUCAUGCUCCACGUGUUACGAGGAUCGAGGCAAAUCUUGGCGUAGAAAAUGCAAGUUACGUAAUCUUCCAUCCUUUUACUUCGCGCCGGCUAUAUUUUAGCCUGAUGGUCGCGCGCGCACGCUUUGCCAUUAGUCCCUUCAAUAAGAAGAAAACAAAGUCAACGGCGACGAAGGAACGGUUCACGGUAGAGCAUCAGGCCAAUGCCUUCUAGAGAUCGUCGGCGCGUGCAAGGCCAUCCAAUGAGCAACUAGCUUCCCCAUAUCGAGGACGAUUAACUCGCAUUCUUUUCGAACCUCACCAUUCACGAGAAAGAGAUCACUGAUCAUCCUCCGUUCUUUUAUUCUUUCUUUUGUCGGACGGAACCGAUCGUUAGAAAUUAACGUUCUGCAAACUGACCGUGACUGUUUCUAACUCUUCCUGCUUCGUUUGAAAUUCUUGGACCACGAAAAGAGAGAGAGAAAAAAAAUGAAGAAAAGAAAAGAGAGAGAAAACGACAAAGAAGAAGAAAUCAAAUACAAGUAACAAAACGACAAAGUGAAUCGAUCAAGCGCGAUUUUAAUUUGUUCUUUUUAUAUAAGAAUAAACAAAAAAACAAGAAAAAAAAGAAACAUAAGAAGAUUAAUUUAUUUGGAUCGAUCGAAGAAAAUUGUCGUUCGAGAGAAAAUAAAUGAAUAGGAGAUAUCAGAUCGAUGGUGGAUUAUCUACUGUGUCGAAAGUAGUAACAUUACGUUAUCGUCGGAAGAAAGAGCUGAAACGUAGAAAACAGAAGUAGGUAUAGGGUUGGCUCGCACGCUAGAACGCUGUAAAACGUGGGCCCUCGAAAGUCGUUACGACCACCACAUGCAACGCAUAAAUAAUCGUGGGCGUGAAAGGCGUGUGCGUGUACGCGUUCAUUAUACGUCGUGCGAACACGGCAGGUUGCGCUCAAGACUAUUAUAGUACAACUUCGAUAAGAAAUAGUACGUCACGCUUUCUAUCUUUCUCUCCUAAAAGAGAGAAAUAUUCCUUCGAAAUUUCAAUCCUGUAGGCUAUCUCGAUAUUAUCAAACACGUAAUGCAAACGAAGAAUGGCAGCCCCAAAAAUAGUUAAGAACGAAUAGAAUCGUAGAUGUUAUGGAACGGUAACACGUUCUCUAAACUUUUUCUUUUUUUUCUUUUUUAUAAAUAAUAAACUGAUAUCAAAUAAUUAAGUCGAAUUCUUUCUUCUGAUUUUGCGCUAUCGCUAAAAAAUUAUAGGUCACACUGGUAUUAAUGGUAAAAUAUUAAAAUCGUUUGCGUGUAGAUCAAUUGUCGUUCGAUAAGAAACUGGAUCAAAAGAAGAAAAAUCAGCGUGUACGUGGUAGUUGGUGAGAUGCGAGCGCGUGUACUUACACGCGGAACCGCGCGUUCUCUGGCUUUUCGGCGGAUAGCACCUAAAAAUAGAAGCCGGGCAUCCUAGAAAAAGUAAACGGGGCCGCGGUGGCGGGCCUCGGUUUCGUGCAGCUGACUAUGAAAUUCACAAAGGAUCCAACCGGGGGAACAAAGAGCGGGAUCCGUGAAGACGAGCGCGUGAAACAGAGAGAGAGAGAGAGAGAGAGAGAGAGAGAGGGAGAGAGAGCGGGAGAGAGAGAGAGUGCCUGAGACAAAGGCACAAGAAAGAAAGAGACAGAGAACGUGUGCGUUUGUAUGUGUUCAUAUGUACGUUUUCACGGGAUGAGAAAAAGAAAGGACAGAUAUAGUGCUGCGGGGUAGAUACGCCCCUGAGAAACAUGCAGAAACGCAAAACGGUGCCGAAAGGCUCAGGAAACGAAAAUGAUCGCUUCCGAGAAAGGCUCCGCCAUCUGCUCUGCCUAGAAAUCGCUCGAUUUCGAGACAUUCGCCCAUCGAUCAUUAUCGUGAUAUCAUCAUAGAUUUAUUUAACUUUUCCAGAUAUAGAAAAACUUUGAUCGGGGAAUAAUUUGUAAUUUCGAAUCGAAUGAUCUUGCUCGAAUUUCAUUGUUUUUCAUUCUUUCAAAUUAUUCGAAUGAUAUUAUAAAUUAUACGAGAACAAUCUAUAGAUCGGCGAUGCGAGAUACGGUGAAAGAAAAAAAAAAAAGAAAAAGAGGGAAAAAAGCAUUCGCAAUUCUUACUUUUCGAUUCUCUCUCAGCGGAAUCGUGCGUGUUUGACCGAAGGGAUCGAAGGAAAGCCCGAGAGUCUGGAUACGAUGAAGUAGUCGAGAGGGGAGAAAAUGGAAAGGUUAAGUUACGAAACGCAGCAACUUCCAAGGUCUCUCCCACUCCAAUUGGAUUAUAACUACGACGACGAUCUGACCCUUUUUCCCUUUUCAAACUGAAUAGAUAGAAUAACGUAAAGACGAAGCACCGACGUAUAAAGAGAAAUCCCACUACAUUUUUACAUUUUUACAAAGAUAUUCUUGUAUACAAGGGUAUCUUAAUUAACUCGUACAAUUAUCGUAGAAAUUUAACGAUACUGUAUUCGAACGUCUUACAAUGGAGCUCUUCAAUUCUUAUCUGAGUAUCUUGAUAAUACGAAGAGUAAAAGAGCUAUGUUGUUAUCAGUGACAUUGGAUUUAUUGUCCAACAGUCAAUCUGAAAUAACCAUUCAAAGGAAAUACGUUUCCGACCUAUUUUCUCAAAAUGAUAGAAGUUAGUAGAGUAGCCUUGAUCAAACGCAACGGACGUGUUUUUCCCGUGGAAACGAAAUGUAUAAAAGUGGUAGAAGCAGAAGAAGAAAAAGAAGGAGAUAAAGACGAAGAUGAAGACGAAGGAGAUAAAGACGAAGAUGAAGACGAAGACGAAAAGGAGAAAGAGGGGAAGAGAAAUAGAGGACUCGCGAGUGCCUGAUCGUGGAUCGAGAGACCUUGACACAUUUUGUUCGGUGGCGCCAAAUUGGUCGUCGAGCAGGCGGCCUAUCAUAAGAAAUAAGAAAGAGUCGAAAGGGAAGAGAUGCGAGAGGACGUCAGGUACAUGGAAAACAACGUAGUUAAGGGAGGACUAGAAGGAAAGAGAGGAAGGGGUGGAUAGAGAGAGAGAGAGAGAGAGAGAGAGAGAGAGAGAGAGAGAGAGAGAGAGAGGAAAAAGAGGCAAAGGACGAGAGAGAGGAAAAUCAAUGUCAGGCAGCGUGUGCGUUGCAGCCCAAAAUCAAGGGAGAGCCCUAGGCCCUCCCCCUCUUAUUCGAAGUGUACUACGGAGUGAGAGGAGAAGAGCCCUGGUCGAUUCGCGGCUGCAAGGGAUGCCAACCCUCUUUCACCGAGCAAAGGAGGAGAGACCAUCAGGGGAAACCAUAACCUGCACAACGGUCCACUUUCGAAACUUCUCCACGAUUCAAGAUGUCCGUUGAGAAUCCUUUCUGGAGCCGAUGUAAUAUAUACGUGAGAUUAUAACAAUUCUUAAAAUGAUAAAUCUAAUUGUCAAUGUUUUAUAAUAAUAACGAAACAAAUAGAUUUAACGAA